GACGAACGCUAGCUACAGGCUUAAUACAUGCAAGUCGAGGGACCGGCGCACGGGUGAGUAACACGAAUCCAACCAGACCUUUCCCCGGGGAGAGCGAUUCGAAAGGAAGAUAAAUACCCGAUAUAAAAGAGUGGGAUGCGUGCGUUUAGGUUGUUGGCGAGGUCACGGCUCACCAAGCCUUCGAUGGCAAGGGGUUCUGAGAGGAAGGCACCCCACAUUUGAGCUGAGACACGGUCCAAACGCGUAGGGGAGGCAGCAGUGAGGAAUAUUGGUCAAUGGGCGCUAGCCUGAACCAGCCAAGUAGGGUGAAGGAGGAAGGGUUAUGGGUCGUAAACUUCUAUUAUAUAACAAUCUGUAUUAAAUGAGUAAGGAUCGGCUAACUCCGUGCCAGCCGCCGCGGUAAUAC
rnacentral:rRNA from 1 species